rnacentral:rRNA from 1 species
AAUAAGACGACGGGUGCGUGUCAAAGCCCCGGG